UUCAGAAAAUGCAGGUGCGGGUUGUUGAACCACGGCCAGUGAAAAUUCGCCUAGCUGGCAGCAAUUCCUUGAUUUACCUGCACUGAAUUGAUUUUUCUCUGCAGCACACACUUGAAAACAUCUGCUGAAGAGAAUCUGGGAAAGGCUGAGACUAAAAUAGCUGACAAGCGACCAACAUUUAACCAUGUAAAAAAUGGAUGAAUCAAAAUUUUGUUUGAUUUUCCUCCCCACGGGAGAAAACUGUUCUGGCCCUGACUGUAAAAGAAUGAUUUCCAUUU